CCUACGGGAGGCAGCAGUGAGGAAUAUUGGUCAAUGGGCGAGAGCCUGAACCAGCCAAGUCGCGUGAGGGAGUACUGCCCUAUGGGUUGUAAACCUCUUUUGUCGGGGAGCAAAAGCCGGACGUGUCCGGCUGUGAGAGUACCCGAAGAAAAAGCAUCGGCUAACUCCGUGCCAGCAGCCGCGGUAAUACGGAGGAUGCGAGCGUCAUCCGGAUUUAUUGGGGUUAAAGGGUGCGCAGGCGGCUUUUUAAGUCAGCGGUCAAAUCGUGGGGCUCAACCCCAUCCAGCCGUUGAAACUGGGGAUCUAGAGUGUGCGAGAGGUAUGCGGAAUGCGUGGUGUAGCGGUGAAAUGCAUAGAUAUCACGCAGAACCCCGAUUGCGAAGGCAGCAUACCGGUGCACAACUGACGCUCAGGCACGAAAGCGUGGGUAUCGAACAGGAUUAGAUACCCUGGUAGUC
rnacentral:rRNA from 1 species